rnacentral:rRNA from 1 species
GUUGUAUGGUUAAGUGACUAAGCGUACACGGUGGAUGCCUUGGCAGUCAGAGGCGAUGAAAGACGUAGUAACUUGCGAUAAGCCCAGAUUAGGUAGUAACAACCAUUUGAGUCUGGGAUUUCUGAAUGGGGAAACCCACUUACAUAAGUAAGUAUCAUUAACUGAAUACAUAGGUUAAUGAGGCGAACCGGGGGAACUGAAACAUCUAAGUACCCCGAGGAAAAGAAAUCAACCGAGAUUCCGAAAGUAGCGGCGAGCGAAAUUGGACUAGCCCUUAAGCUUUACACGCGUUAGACGAACGGUCUGGAAAGUCCGACGAUACAGGGUGAUAGUCCCGUAGUUGACGACGUGUGUUCAGUGAAAUCGAGUAGGGCGGGACACGUGAUAUCCUGUCUGAAUAUGGGGGGACCAUCCUCCAAGGCUAAAUACUACUGACUGACCGAUAGUGAACCAGUACCGUGAGGGAAAGGCGAAAAGAACCCCUGUGAGGGGAGUGAAAUAGAACCUGAAACCGUGUACGUACAAGCAGUAGGAGCAGGCUUUGUCCUGUGACUGCGUACCUUUUGUAUAAUGGGUCAGCGACUUAUAUUCAGUGGCAAGGUUAACCAUCUAGGGGAGCCGUAGGGAAACCGAGUCUUAACUGGGCGUUCAGUCUCUGGAUAUAGACCCGAAACCAGGUGAUCUAGCCAUGGGCAGGUUGAAGGUUGAGUAACAUCAACUGGAGGACCGAACCGACUAAUGUUGAAAAAUUAGCGGAUGACUUGUGGCUAGGGGUGAAAGGCCAAUCAAACCUGGAGAUAGCUGGUUCUCCCCGAAAGCUAUUUAGGUAGCGCCUCGGACGAAUACUACUGGGGGUAGAGCACUGUUAAGGCUAGGGGGUCAUCCCGACUUACCAACCCUUUGCAAACUCCGAAUACCAGUAAGUACUAUCCGGGAGACACACGGCGGGUGCUAACGUCCGUCGUGGAGAGGGAAACAACCCAGACCGCCAGCUAAGGUCCCAAAUUACUACUAAGUGGGAAACGAUGUGGGAAGGCUCAGACAGCCAGGAUGUUGGCUUAGAAGCAGCCAUCAUUUAAAGAAAGCGUAAUAGCUCACUGGUCGAGUCGGCCUGCGCGGAAGAUGUAACGGGGCUAAGUAGUAAACCGAAGCUGCGGCAAUAUACUUUUGUAUAUUGGGUAGGGGAGCGUUCUGUAAGCGGUUGAAGGUGUGUGGUAACGCAUGCUGGACGUAUCAGAAGUGCGAAUGCUGACAUGAGUAACGAUAAAGGGGGUGAAAAACCUCCUCGCCGGAAGACCAAGGGUUCCUGUCCAACGUUAAUCGGGGCAGGGUAAGUCGACCCCUAAGGCGAGGCCGAAAGGCGUAGUCGAUGGGAAACGGGUUAAUAUUCCCGUACUUCUUACAAUUGCGAUGGGGGGACGGAGAAGGCUAGGUGGGCCUGGCGACGGUUGUCCAGGUUCAAGUGCGUAGGCUUAAGAGUUAGGUAAAUCCGGCUCUUUUUAAGGCUGAGACACGACGUCGAGCACCUACGGGUGUGAAGUCAUUGAUGCCAUGCUUCCAGGAAAAGCCUCUAAGCUUCAGAUUGUAAGGAAUCGUACCCCAAACCGACACAGGUGGUCGGGUAGAGAAUACCAAGGCGCUUGAGAGAACUCGGGUGAAGGAACUAGGCAAAAUGGUACCGUAACUUCGGGAGAAGGUACGCUCUCGACGGUGAAGUCCCUUGCGGAUGGAGCUAUUGAGAGUCGCAGAUACCAGGUGGCUGCAACUGUUUAUUAAAAACACAGCACUGUGCAAAAUCGUAAGAUGACGUAUACGGUGUGACGCCUGCCCGGUGCCGGAAGGUUAAUUGAUGGGGUUAGACUUCGGUCGAAGCUCUUGAUCGAAGCCCCGGUAAACGGCGGCCGUAACUAUAACGGUCCUAAGGUAGCGAAAUUCCUUGUCGGGUAAGUUCCGACCUGCACGAAUGGCGUAAUGAUGGCCACGCUGUCUCCACCCGAGACUCAGUGAAAUUGAAAUCGCUGUGAAGAUGCAGUGUACCCGCGGCUAGACGGAAAGACCCCGUGAACCUUUACUACAGCUUGGCACUGAACAUUGACCCUACAUGUGUAGGAUAGGUGGGAGGCUUUGAAGCACGUACGCCAGUAUGUGUGGAGCCGUCCUUGAAAUACCACCCUUGUAGUGUUGAUGUUCUAACGUCGACCCCUAAUCGGGGUUGCGGACAGUGCCUGGUGGGUAGUUUGACUGGGGCGGUCUCCUCCCAAAGAGUAACGGAGGAGCACGAAGGUGGGCUAAUCACGGUUGGACAUCGUGAGGUUAGUGCAAUGGCAUAAGCCCGCUUGACUGCGAGAAUGACAAUUCGAGCAGGUGCGAAAGCAGGUCAUAGUGAUCCGGUGGUUCUGAAUGGAAGGGCCAUCGCUCAACGGAUAAAAGGUACUCCGGGGAUAACAGGCUGAUACCGCCCAAGAGUUCAUAUCGACGGCGGUGUUUGGCACCUCGAUGUCGGCUCAUCACAUCCUGGGGCUGAAGUCGGUCCCAAGGGUAUGGCUGUUCGCCAUUUAAAGUGGUACGCGAGCUGGGUUUAGAACGUCGUGAGACAGUUCGGUCCCUAUCUGCCGUGGGCGUUGGAAGAUUGAAGGGGGCUGCUCCUAGUACGAGAGGACCGGAGUGGACGAACCUCUGGUGUUCGGGUUGUGUCGCCAGACGCAUUGCCCGGUAGCUAAGUUCGGAAUCGAUAACCGCUGAAAGCAUCUAAGCGGGAAGCGAGCCCUGAGAUGAGUCUUCCCUGAUACUUUAAGUAUCCUAAAGGGUUGUCGGAGACUACGACGUUGAUAGGUCAGGUGUGUAAGUGCUGUGAGGCAUUGAGCUAACUGAUACUAAUUGCCCGUGAGGCUUAACCAUACAACACCCAAGGGGUUU